rnacentral:rRNA from 1 species
GAGUUUGAUCAUGGCUCAGGACGAACGCUAGCGGCAGGCCUAAUACAUGCAAGUCGAACGGCAGGCGUCAGCAAUGGCGCCGAGAGUGGCGGACGGGUGCGUAACACGUAUGCAACCUACCCAUGACAGGGGGAUAGCCCGGGGAAACCCGGAUUAAUACCGCAUAAAGCAGGGGGCCCGCAUGGGCAUAUUGCUAAAGCUUCGGCGGUCAUGGAUGGGCAUGCGCCUGAUUAGCUAGUUGGCGGGGUAACGGCCCACCAAGGCUACGAUCAGUAACUGGUCUGAGAGGAUGAUCAGUCACACGGGCACUGAGACACGGGCCCGACUCCUACGGGAGGCAGCAGUAAGGAAUAUUGGUCAAUGGACGGAAGUCUGAACCAGCCAUGCCGCGUGCAGGAAGAAGGUCCUCUGGAUUGUAAACUGCUUUUAUCCGGGGUUAAGAGGGAGCUACAGGCUCCUGUGAAGGUACCGGAGGAAUAAGCCACGGCUAACUACGUGCCAGCAGCCGCGGUAAUACGUAGGUGGCAAGCGUUGUCCGGAUUUAUUGGGUUUAAAGG